AAAUACAGGGGUGUCUCUGACCAGGCAAGUUCCUGGGGGUGAUUACUGAGUGCUGUGGAUGGAACUUUUACUGUAAAACCAUAUUUGGACAACCUGCACAACUACUGUAAAAGGAAAGUCUAAGAAAAUAGAGGUCGUACGUAAGCUGCCUGUCUGUCACGUAUCUAUUUCUGUGACUUCAGUUGAACUUAAAAAUGUUGAUGGCACUUUUGGCUGCAUUUAAUUCAGAGAGUGUUCUAAACCACUAACCUCUUCCUUUCACAAGGAUACAACGUUUAUGUUAAAUGAUACAUAGCUGUGUAACAGCAAGCUCACUUUUGGAAAAGGAACAAAACUAACUGUUCAACCAGGUAAAAGGGAUCCUUCCACUCCCUCUGUAUUUCUGUUAACAUCUACAAAAGUCUCUUCAACAUCCUGCCUUGCAAAGGAUUUCUACCCCAAGGAUGUGGAGUUCUACAUCAAAUCCAACAAGUCAGAGGCCAGUACUGUUGAGGUGAAUCCGAUCCUGACUAACAAAGGCCUUUACAAUGCUGUCAUUGUAAAGAAUACACAAUCAACAGAGUGCCGAAUUAAACACCAAGGAAAAUGGGUGACAAGCCAGAAAAGUUUACUAGCCGAAGCGGAUCAUGACAUUCAAGCCACUGGAAUAGAAACUACUUAUGUCGAUGAUGAGAACUGCAUAGAACAACCUGCUGCAGUGACUGAUACUAAUAUUAAUUCUCUUUCUCUGACUGUGCUGGGAAUGAGAGUGCUGUUUAUCAAAUUAUUGGUCUUCAACUUUUUACUGAGUGUAACAGUGAUUUAUCUAUAAGAUACUAUACAAGAAGGAUGCUGUAUCUCAAGACCUUGUGUUUUUUUAGUAACAGUCUCAAGUCUGAUACUGUUUUAUAAAAAACAAAUCUUUGCUCAAUUCUUUUACUGCACUGUCUGCAUCCACAAUGUGUUAAAACAAACAAUAUAUAGGAGUUCAAACAUUAAAUGCAAGAACUAUAUAAUAUAAAUGAGCAAUAACUAAGAUCCUGUUAUGUAGGUAUUUGUUGUAUAUUAUGUUUGCUUAAAUUGUUCAUAUAUAUUUUCUUUAAUUGCAUUGCAUAUUUGCUUAAAUUGUUAAUAUAUAUUUUCUUUAAUUGUAUCACAUAUUUGCUUAAAUUGUUAAUAAAUAAUGAAUUGUGAA